CAUACACUUGCGUGUAAAUUCCACUUCCUCCUUUAAAGAGGGAAAUUCACUCAUUCAAGCGACCCCUAGAAAAACUCCAUUUUCUGGGAAUUUUGAAGCUGAAGAACAAUGUCCGAUUAUCUUCCAAAAGAUGUUCUUGUUGAAAUUCUAUCAAAAUUACCAUUGAAAACCCUUGUUCAAUGCACCACCAUAUGCAAAUCAUGGUAUUCCAUAAUCAUAAACCCUAAUUUCAUUUCUCUCCAUCACAACACCCACAUCAGCACCGCCGGACGCCGUCCUUUACUCUUUGUCCGGCAUUAUAACAUGUUUGAUAGGGUUGAACGUUACGCGUUACACUUCGACGAUGAAGAGUUAGGAGAUUCAUCAGAUGCCGAUUCGUUUGAGGAAUAUCUUGAGCUGAAAUGUCCUGAAAGAAGUCGUAGUGAGUAUUUGAGAAUUGUUGGUUGUUGUAAUGGUCUUAUUUGCUUGUCUGAUGAUUAUGAUAAGUUUACGGAUACUGUGGUUUUAUGGAACCCUAUAAUUCGUAAACAUGUGGGUUUGCCGAAUCCUAAUUUGGGGUAUAAUGGACGUGGGUCUUGUAUUUAUGGGUUUGGGUUUGAUUGUGUGAAGCAUGAUUAUAAAGUUGUUAGGGUUGUUUAUAAUAGUACUGCUACUGAGGAUUAUAAAUUGCAGAUUCCACCGACGAUUGAGUUUCUUGAUAAAUUGAGGGCUGUUAAAUUCUUGGUUCCACCUGGGGUUGAGGUUUACUCUUUGAGUAGUGGGGUUUGGAGGACUAUUUCUGAUGCGUGCCCUUCUUAUAUUUUGCAUCAAAAUCAUUCUGUUUCGACUUUUCUUAAUGGGGCUGUUCAUUGGAUUGCAUCUCAUUCAAGCGAUGAUGAUGAUGGUAAUGGGAGUAGCAACAAUGAUUGUAGUUGUAGCAGUAGCAGCAGCAGCGGUAAUAGUAAAGAUUGUAGUUUUAUUGUAGCAUUUGAUGUGGGGAAUGAAAAGUUCAGUGAAAUAAGCUUGCCUGAUAGUGUUGCUGAGAGAAAUGUAAUGAAAUUGGAUGUGAUGAUUACGGGCACGUCGCUUGCCCUAAUUGAGUAUGAAAAGUUUUGGCAGAGUGAUUAUUGCUGGAUAUGGGUGAUGAAAGAGUAUGGAGUGGUGAAGUCUUGGAGUAGGCUGCAUAAUAUUGAUUUGAGAGGAGGAUUCAGGAAUGUUGUGGGAUUUAGGACUCACGGUGAGUUGUUGAUUUCUGCCAGAAUGGUCGGAAUGGUUUCAUACAACCCCAAGAGGAGAAACAUAAGCUAUCUCGGAAUCCAUGGCACCAAUCGCUCAUUCCAUGGUGAGCCUUUUUUCGAGAGCCUGGCUUUAGUAGGGAAAGAAGAUAGAUUUGCGCAGCAGGCAAAUUCGACUACUGAUGUUGUUCAAGAAAUUGGAUCUGUACUGAAUAAUGAUCAAGAUGGAACUGUACUGGAUAAUGGUGGAGAUGGAACUGUACUGGGUAAUGGUGGAGAUGGAACUGUACUGGGUAAUGGUGAAGAUGGAACUGAGGAACAUACAUGAUAGUUAGUGUAGAUCCACUUUGUAUAGGGAAAAGGUCUCAUAACGGACACCUCAGUGUUUAAAUCUAAGGAGGCUUGUUAGUGAUCCUAAAAUUCUCUGGAGUUUGAGGUAUGAGUUUCAGAUUUCUAAAGGGGAGUUUGGUGCACAUUUUGUCACUGAAUCAUGGGUAAAAUUACCAGUUGUUUUAUCAAAGUCUUUUCUGCUUUUCUUUUCUACUUUUUUCCUUUUGGGUGGUGAUUCAAGAUGCAUCAUAAUGCCCUGCCACACUUCCCCUCCGCCAGGUUAGUGAUAGUAAAGGACUUUUUCCAUUUAUGAAAACUGGAAUCUUUUUUCCCGGGAUACCCAGGUUCCUCCUGCUGCAACUUCAUCCAUCUUCCUUUCUGUCCACCUCUCUAAGCAUCCUGUCGUGUAUCCUGACCCUUCUUCCUGAGUGAGCCCCUGCAGCGUACUGUUUUGUCUGAUUUCUCAUUGGGCUAAGGGUAAAUUGAGCUGAAGAGAUUGGUGCAAAGUGUGGGGGGAGAUGUCAAGGGAAGCAGUGUUGCUACUUGCUUGUAUUAACAAGUUUUUCAGAAAUUGGAGUCGUCCACUGCAAAGGACUAAUAUCUCAUUUGACACUUUCUAUAAGACUCUGGAGUCUGGACCCAUAUGACGCAAAGAAAUUCAAGACAAGUAGGCCUACUGCCUAAUCAGAAUACUAGAUUCACUAUAGUCGAAGGAAGAUUUUAUCAGAGUGGUUUUACUGGUUCACACCUUGGAUUGUCAAGCAUCCUUAUCAUGUGAUUCCGGCUUCUGAUGUCGCCACCUGAUCCAGUGUUCCUAUUUUCUUUGUAUGGUUAGUAACUGUAUUUGCAUACUUGACUCUGUAUAUAUCCCACUGAGUGUGUUGUUGUUGCUCUGUAUAUAUCUAGGAAAUGAAUACUUUUUUUUGUAAUCAUGAGUCCUGACAGUUUGUUGUCAAAGAAAUAUAUUACUUGUAUAAAUGUGGGUGUAUCUGAUGCGUUGUUAACAAUGAAAUAGAAUUACUUACCAUA